rnacentral:rRNA from 1 species
GACGAACGCUGGCGGCGUGCUUAACACAUGCAAGUCGAACGGAAAGGCCCUGCUUUUGUGGGGUGCUCGAGUGGCGAACGGGUGAGUAACACGUGAGUAACCUGCCCUUGACUUUGGGAUAACUUCAGGAAACUGGGGCUAAUACCGGAUAGGAGCUCCUGCUGCAUGGUGGGGGUUGGAAAGUUUCGGCGGUUGGGGAUGGACUCGCGGCUUAUCAGCUUGUUGGUGGGGUAGUGGCUUACCAAGGCUUUGACGGGUAGCCGGCCUGAGAGGGUGACCGGCCACAUUGGCACUGGGGAGCGAGCAGUGGGCCAUCGGGGGGAAGGGGCGGGAAUAUUGCACAAUGGGCGGAAGCCUGAUGCAGAGACGCCGCGUGCGGGAUGACGGCCUUCGGGUUGUAAACCGCUUUCGCCUGUGACGAAGCGUGAGUGACGGUAAUGGGUAAAGAAGCACCGGCUAACUACGUG